rnacentral:rRNA from 1 species
CAAGUGGAGCGACGAACCAGGCUUCGGCCUGGGGCAAAGCCGCGAACGGGUGAGUAACACGUGGGUAACCUGCCCCGAUGACCGGGACAACCCGAGGAAACUCGGGCUAAUACCGGAUGUGCUCCUCGCACGGAAGUGCGCGGAGUAAAGGAAGCUUCGGCCUCCGCUUCGGGAGGGGCCCGCGGCCCAUUAGCUAGUUGGUGAGGUAACGGCUUGCCAAGGCAACGAUGGGUAGCUGGUCUGAGAGGACGAUCAGCCACACUGGGACUGAGACACGGCCCAGACUCCUACGGGAGGCAGCAGUGGGGAAUCUUGCGCAAUGCGCGAAAGCGUGACGCAGCAACGCCGCGUGGGGGAAGAAGGCCUUCGGGUUGUAAACCCCUUUCAGGAGGGACGAAGGCACGGCGGUGAACAGCCGUCCGUGCUGACGGUACCUCCAGAAGAAGCCCCGGCUAACUACGUGCCAGCAGCCGCGGUAAUACGUAGGGGGCAAGCGUUGUCCGGAAUCAUUGGGCGUAAAGCGCGCGUAGGCGGCCCGGUAAGUCCGCUGUAAAAGUCCAGGGCUCAACCCUGGAAAGCCGGUGGAUACUGUCGGGCUAGAGUCCGGAAGAGGCGAGUGGAAUUCCUGGUGUAGCGGUGGAAUGCGCAGAUAUCAGGAGGAACACCGAUGGCGAAGGCAGCUCGCUGGGACGGUACUGACGCUGAGGCGCGAAAGCGUGGGGAGCGAACAGGAUUAGAUACCCUGGUAGUCCACGCCGUAAACGAUGGGCACUAGGUGUGGGAGGUGUCGACUCCUUCCGUGCCGUCGCUAACGCAUUAAGUGCCCCGCCUGGGGAGUACGGCCGCAAGGCUAAAACUCAAAGGAAUUGACGGGGGCCCGC